UGGGGAAUUUUGGACAAUGGGCGAAGCCUGAUCCAGCAAUGCCGCGUGUGUGAAGAAGGCCUUCGGGUUGUAAAGCACUUUUGUCCGGAAAGAAAUCCUUGGCUCUAAUACAGUCGGGGGAUGACGGUACCGGAAGAAUAAGCACCGGCUAACUACGUGCCAGCAGCCGCGGUAAUACGUAGGGUGCAAGCGUUAAUCGGAAUUACUGGGCGUAAAGCGUGCGCAGGCGGUUUGCUAAGACCGAUGUGAAAUCCCCGGGCUCAACCUGGGAACUGCAUUGGUGACUGGCAGGCUAGAGUAUGGCAGAGGGGGGUAGAAUUCCACGUGUAGCAGUGAAAUGCGUAGAGAUGUGGAGGAAUACCGAUGGCGAAGGCAGCCCCCUGGGCCAAUACUGACGCUCAUGCACGAAAGCGUGGGGAGCAAACAGGAUUAGAUACCCUGGUAGUCCACGCCCUAAACGAUGUCAACUAGUUGUUGGGGAUUCAUUCCUUAGUAACGUAGCUAACGCGUGAAGUUGACCGCCUGGGGAGUACGGUCGCAAGAUUAAAACUUAAAUGAAUUGACGGGGUCAUAGCUGUUUCCU
rnacentral:rRNA from 1 species